GAGUUUGAUCGUGGCUCAGAUUGAACGCUGGCGGCAUGCCUUACACAUGCAAGUCGAACGGCAGCACGGGAGCUUGCUCCUGGUGGCGAGUGGCGAACGGGUGAGUAAUGCAUCGGAACGUAUCCUGGAGUGGGGGAUAACGUAGCGAAAGUUACGCUAAUACCGCAUAUUCUGUGAGCAGGAAAGCGGGGGGACCUUCGGGCCUCGCGCUCUUGGAGCGGCCGAUGUCGGAUUAGCUAGUUGGUGAGGUAAAGGCUCACCAAGGCGACGAUCCGUAGCAGGUCUGAGAGGAUGAUCUGCCACACUGGAACUGAGACACGGUCCAGACUCCUACGGGAGGCAGCAGUGGGGAAUUUUGGACAAUGGGGCAACCCUGAUCCAGCCAUGCCGCGUGAGUGAAGAAGGCCUU
rnacentral:rRNA from 1 species